rnacentral:rRNA from 1 species
AAAGCGUGCGCAGGCGGUUAUAUAAGACAGAUGUGAAAUCCCCGGGCUCAACCUGGGAACUGCAUUUGUGACUGUAUAGCUAGAGUACGGCAGAGGGGGAUGGAAUUCCGCGUGUAGCAGUGAAAUGCGUAGAUAUGCGGAGGAACACCGAUGGCGAAGGCAAUCCCCUGGGCCUGUACUGACGCUCAUGCACGAAAGCGUGGGGAGCAAACAGGAUUAGAUACCCCAGU